UUCAGAGCAGACAGACCACAUUCAAGUGUCUCCAGUCCCUCAUGCGUUCCUGACAACGUAUGUGGCCAGAUUCACAGAUCUCAGCAAUUAAACUGACUGCGGCCCUGCUGACCUCACUGAGUCUCUUCUGGUCCUGAUGCUGGUGCGAUGGAGAGCUUCUCUAAGUCUUUUCAGCCUGUACUCUCCCUCGCACGGGUUGACGGCAGACGGAGGAGCGAUGCAGGCGCACUUGCACUGCGGUCCGGAUGUGAUGGUCUCCACGGUGUAGAAGUCCUGCUCGGUGGCGCU